CAAAAGCUCCAGUUGUCUCUCCAGGCUGAUCUCUGAUUGGUUGACAGGAGGACCGUACAAUGGCUGAAAGCGUCUCGGUUUCGCUUUUUGCUAGUGCUCUUGAUGGCACCUGCAGCCCAUCAGGCCAUCCCCAGAAGUUCUGCUGUGUCUCCCUGCUCAGGAGAUGGGCGGUUACUCAAGGAGAGCUGUGCAGGGCAGUAGAAAGCCAUGAACCCAGCCUCAGCACCAGGAUCUGCUCCUGUAAAAGCCCUACAAAAUGAUCCCCUGGAAGCUGCUCAGCUGCAUGUUUCUAAAUGAACUGUCAUAAACAUUGAUAUUGGUAUUGAUAUUCUUUUAAAUAGACAUUACAUGGACAUGCAGUACACACCAAGCGGCAGUGUCUUUUCAGUGUUUAUUGAGUUUCUGAUCUAUCAAUGCCAUCAUAUCAGACCCAUUAUGGUAAGGCACAGGUUUGUUCAGAUAAAACACUGAUCUUAUGUACAGCAAAUGUGUGGACGUGGUACAUACAAACAACUCUUUCUUAGCCUGAAUGACCAGCCAACAAUUGGUCCAAUAAAAAAACAAAACAAAAAACUGGUUUCAUUCAUUUCAAAGCCCUUUUUGUUAUACAAGAUUCAAAAGGUAAAGCCAACAUUUUGCAAUGCAAUAUGAAAUGUAACGUCAUACCAAAAGCUUAAAAAUAAAAAUUGUGAGGGAAAAAAAGCAAAUACAUUUCAAAAACGUGACUGAAUACAGAUUCAAAGUAAUGCCUGGAAAUGCCUGCAGAGUACUGACUUGACUAGCAUCUUGUGAGCCGUGAACUAAAAGUUUACAGUUACACGUUUACCUUGGUAUGACGACAAGUCUUUCUUACAAAGUGGUAACAAAAAAUAAAACGAAUCCUGCUGCGCCUAAAUCUAACAGUUAGUUCCUGUUGUGCAUAAUUUAAGCUCAUAAUUGGUCACAUGAUUGUCCAAUAGAAAUUUAGGUCCAACAAGAAUUCCCUUGAUAAAACCAGACAAAGCAUUCAUCAGGAAUAUAAUCUGCUUCAGUUUAUGAAGAGAUGUUAGUACAAACAGCCCUGCUGUUUGAAGCCGGAGGAAAUGACCAUGCCUGAAAUACUGCAUACAUCUCAGGUGUACAUGUGUAAUAAUAGCAAUAGUUAUAACCCCUAUGGUCCAAUUCAGGGAGGAAUAUUUAGUACAAAUUUUUAAAAUAAAAGGAAAAAGAAAAGAAAAUAAGUACCAGCACUGACUUAAAAAAAAAAA